UACGUAGGGUACAAGCGUUGUCCGGAAUUAUUGGGCGUAAAGAGCUCGUAGGCGGUCUGUCGCGUCUGGUGUGAAAAUCCAGGGCUUAACCCUGGACCUGCAUCGGGUACGGGCAGACUAGAGUGCGGUAGGGGAGAUCGGAAUUCCUGGUGUAGCGGUGAAAUGCGCAGAUAUCAGGAGGAACACCGGUGGCGAAGGCGGGUCUCUGGGCCGAUACUGACGCUGAGGAGCGAAAGCGUGGGGAGCGAACAGG
rnacentral:rRNA from 1 species